rnacentral:lncRNA from 1 species
CAAAUGUGUUGGUUAUUAAUACUGACUGAUAAUUCCAUCUGACAUAUAAUGUUCAAAUCGUGUACCAUUUCACACUUGGAGGCUUGCUUUUUUUAGUGAAGUGACCCUUUGCUUUCCUCCCAGUUCUCCCCAUGGGUCUCAGGCCUUGAAAUGGGCUAAGUGCAGCCAUCAGGUGUAAAGGCAGUUUUGGUCUUAGAUGCUGUUAUGACAAAGAGCAAGCGUCACACUCUCUCCUCCCUACAGUUUACAGAAACUUGGAAAAUUAACAAAGGGAAAUGCAAAGAAUUGGAAUAUGACCAUCACUUAUACACCUUGGCAUUUGAGAAUGAAAGGCAAAUAGCAGAUGGAGAAACUGAGGCCUGCUGAUAAGAGAUUCAUUACUGCAGGAAGAGCCCUGCUUUGGAGUAAAAUCUAGAUUUACUUAGCUUGCUGUCCUGGGAAGGAUAUUUUAGAGCCUUUGUCUACAUAAAUUUUAGCCUCGCAUUCCAGAUGAAGACAUUAAUUCCAGGUAUUUGUGGGUGGUGAUUGUUAGUAGUAAUAGAAUUAAUAAGG